CAGUAGCCACGGUAAGACAGAGGAUGCAAGCGUUAUCCGGAAUGAUUGGGCGUAAAGCGUGCGUAGGUGGUUGUUUAAGUCUGUUGUGAAAGCCCUGGGCUCAACCUGGGAAUUGCAGUGGAUACUGGGCGACUAGAGUGUGGUAGAGGGUAGUGGAAUUCCCGGUGUAGCAGUGAAAUGCGUAGAGAUCGGGAGGAACAUCCAUGGCGAAGGCAGCUACCUGGACCAACACUGACACUGAGGCACGAAAGCGUGGGGAGCAAACAGGAUUAGAUACCCCCGUAGUCCCUGUCUCUUAUAC
rnacentral:rRNA from 1 species